AGCAAAUAAAAUUGUACAUGUAAUAUAUUCAAUGUAAAUAUUGUAUGUUUGUAUUGUGUUCUGUGUUGUUUAAGUGUGUUUUAGUUUUAUACUGCAGAUAUAAAAAAAAAUCGAAACCAUAUUCUCGAAAGGAGUCCAAUCUGGAAUUUCAUGCACAAAUAAGUUUAUCACAAAUUAGAACUAUCACGCGGGCAGAUAUAACACUGUCCCUAACAAGAGUUUGUUUGAAAUCAUGAAACAAAAAUCCGUAAUAGAACCACAUUUGAUAUCACAAAAAUAUCUGCAUAAUCCUUUUUUUUUUUCUAUUAAAAGAAAAAAGAUAUGAGCAAACUACUUUUUGGUCUCUUCAUCCAAAAAAUAGUCAGAUAAUACCAAUCUUUAGAUAUUCAGUCAAAAAAUUUUGUUUCUCAUACUUAUUUCUCUAUAUUUGCAAACAAAAUGUCGUCUGGAUUAUGCAUGAUUCUUGUCUUUCAUAAACAACUAUAUUUACAACUAUAACGUUAAAGAUUACUCAUUAUCCUGUGCCAGCU
rnacentral:lncRNA from 1 species